rnacentral:tRNA from 1 species
GGGGAUUUAGCUCAGUGGCAUAAGCGCCUGCCUUGAAAGCAGGCAGUCUUGAGUUCGAUCCCUG